UCAAGCUACAAAGAGCACAAGGGGAAUGCCUUGGCACCGAGAGCCGAAGAAGGACGUGACUAACUGCGAUAAGCUGCGGGGAGCCGUAAGUAGGCUUUGAUCCGCAGAUUUCCGAAUGGAGCAAUCCGGCAAGAGGAAAGUCUUGUCAUCAUAUACUGAAUACAUAGGUAUAUGAGGGGAACCGCCUGAACUGAAACAUCUAAGUAGGGCGAGGAAGAGAAAUCAACUGAGAUUCCGUAAGUAGUGGCGAGCGAACGCGGAAGAGGCCAAACCGAGAGUAGUAAUACUUUCGGGGUUCGGACAGAAUACGGUAUUGUAAAGGUUUAGUGGAAUGGAAUGGGAAGUCCAACCGAAGAAGGUGAGAGUCCUGUACACGAAAAGCCUGAACAGCCAUCUGUAUCCAGAGUACCGCCGGACACGUGAAACCCGGUGGGAAUAUGGGGGGACCAUCCUCCAAGCCUAAAUACUACUCGGUGACCGAUAGUGAAGAAGUACUGUGAAGGAAAGGUGAAAAGUACCCCUGACGGGGAGUGAAAAAGAACCUGAAACCUUGUGUUUACAAGCACCGAAAGCUCAUCAAAGAGCGAUCGGGUACCUUUUGUAGAAUGGUCCGGCGAGUGAAUGUAACCGGCGAGGUUAAGCACUUAAGGUGUGAAGCCGCAGCGAGAGCAAGUCUGAAUAGGGCGUAUGAAGUCGGUUGUAUUCGACCCGAAACCGGGUGACCUACCCAUGGUCAGGUUGAAGUAAAGGUAAAACUUUAUGGAGGACCGAACCGACUCCCGUUGAAAUGGUAGCGGAUGAACUGUGGGUAGCGGAGAAAUUCCAAUCGAACCCGGAGAUAGCUGGUUCUCUCCGAAAUAGCUUUAGGGCUAGCCUUGAAAUAGAUUACCGGAGGUAAAGCACUGAAUUGGCUAGGGGCCGAGAGGUUACUGAACCUUAUCAAACUAAGAAUGCCGGAUAAUCGUUUUUCAGGAGUCAGACAGUGGGAGAUAAGUUUCAUUGUCAAAAGGGAAACAGCCCAGACCCACAGCUAAGGUCCCCAAGUAUAGUUAAGUGGAAAAGGAUGUGGAAUUGCACAGACAACCAGGAUGUUGGCUUAGAAGCAGCCACUCAUUAAAAGAGUGCGUAAUAGCUCACUGGUCGAGUGACUCUGCGCCGAAAAUUUAACGGGGCUAAACUAUACACCGAAGCUUGGGAUACAUCUAAUGUAUGGUAGGAGAGCGUUCUGUAUGGGGAGAAGUCGUAGCGAAAGCGGCGGUGGACUAUACAGAAGUGAGAAUGCCGGAAUAAGUAGCGAGAAUUAAGUGAGAAUCUUAAUGGCCGAAAGUCUAAGGUUUUUGGAGGAAGGUUCGUCCGCUCCAAGUAAGUCGGGAGCUAAGGUCAGGCCGAAAGGCGUAGCCGAUGCACAUACGGUUGAUAUUCCGUAACCAUCUGUAAUUUAAGCAAAGGGACACUUCAAAAGGGUGUGACCCGGGCGUUGGUUGACCCGGGCGUAAGGGACCGAAAUUAGAGUAGGGAAGCACACUUAGCUGAAGGCGAGAAAAGCUUUGCGUAUAGAAACAGAUGCCCGUACCGCAAACCGACACAGGUGGACAGGAAGAGAAUUCUAAGGCCAGCGGGAGAAGGGUAGUUAAGGAACUCGGCAAAUUGACUCCGUAACUUCGGAAUAAGGAGUGCUCGAAAGAGCCGCAGAGAAUAGGCCCAGGCGACUGUUUAGCAAAAACACAGGUCUCUGCCAAAUCGAAAGAUGAAGUAUAGGGGCUGACACCUGCCCGGUGCCGGAAGGUUAAGAGGAGGAGUGAGAGCUCCGAAUUGAAGCCCCGGUAAACGGCGGCCGUAACUAUAACGGUCCUAAGGUAGCGAAAUUCCUUGUCGGGUAAGUUCCG
rnacentral:rRNA from 1 species